GAUGAACGCUGGCGGCGUGCCUAAUACAUGCAAGUCGAGCGAACAGAUAAGGAGCUUGCUCCUUUGACGUUAGCGGCGGACGUGUGAGUAACACGUGGAUAACCUACCUAUAAGACUGGGAUAACUUCGGGAAACCGGAGCUAAUACCGGAUAACAUAUUGAACCGCAUGGUUCAAUAGUGAAAGGCGGCUUUGCUGUCACUUAUAGAUGGAUCCGCGCCGUAUUAGCUAGUUGGUAAGGUAACGGCUUACCAAGGCAACGAUACGUAGCCGACCUGAGAGGGUGAUCGGCCACACUGGAACUGAGACACGGUCCAGACUCCUACGGGAGGCAGCAGUAGGGAAUCUUCCGCAAUGGGCGAAAGCCUGACGGAGCAACGCCGCGUGAGUGAUGAAGGUCUUCGGAUCGUAAAACUCUGUUAUCAGGGAAGAACAAAUGUGUAAGUAACUGUGCACAUCUUGACGGUACCUGAUCAGAAAGCCACGGCUAACUACGUGC
rnacentral:rRNA from 1 species